rnacentral:rRNA from 1 species
CUCGUAGGUGGUUUGUCGCGUCGUCUGUGAAAUUCCGGGGCCUAACUCCGGGCGUGCAGGCGAUACGGGCAUAACUUGAGUACUGUAGGGGUAACUGGAAUUCCUGGUGUAGCGGUGAAAUGCGCAGAUAUCAGGAGGAACACCGAUGGCGAAGGCAGGUUACUGGGCAGUUACUGACGCUGAGGAGCGAAAGCAUGGGUAGCGAACA